AAAAGAAAAAGUCAAUUCUUAGUAUAUAUUCAUGGCAUUUAACAGCUUUGAAAUGAAAUGGCAGGACUAGCAGGUGGGCAAUAUCGCUAGCCUGUCACUGGGCAGACCUGUUCCCUGGGAAAUGGGACACAUGCUUUGUACAGGAGCUUGGCAGAGCUGCAGAACCACCAUCACAUCCUUUGGAAGAGAGAUCCUGGGACGCACUGCUCACUGUGGGGGAGGUUCUCACACCUCACAGCAAACAGAGCUAGGGUAUCUAGCUAUCCCUCACUCCUCUUUAUGCCACUGAACACAUGAUAUAAAAAUGCUUUUAUUCUAGCCUUGGUUUCCAUAUUGACAGGAGAAGGACAGAGCCUCACACUGCCUUUCUUGUCCUGUUCUAUACUAACAACAGUAUGUCGACUCCUUGCCAGUGACUUCGUGGGACCUCAGGAUAUGGAUGUCCUGAACUCAGUAGGAUGCUUCAAAUUCCUGCCACCUCUCCUGUCCUACAGCUCCUGAUUUCUUCAGUUCUCAUCCCUGUCUACGAGGCCGUCUCACUUCUCCUGGGAACUCAAGCUCUUCAAGGCUCCUGAAGCACUGCUCCAUGAAGGCAGCAUGCCUUGGGCAUCACUGGAGCCAGGUGGCAUGGGCCACCCCUACACUGCAUGGCUCAUCACUGCCAACUGGUUCAGAUGCAGUUGGGUAAGAAACACCUCUUGAAACCUUCCUCACCUUCUCUCAUAUGCCACACACGUGAAAGCUUCGUGUUGUGAAGCUCUCUCACCUCCUGCGUUGUGUUUAUGACAACAGAGUAUUUCACCGUAUGUUGUUAUUUUUCCAGGAUAAAAUGCUCAGCAAAGCCAACAACACUAACCCAUCUAAAACAAACACCAGGGAAAGUAACUAUACUGCUUCUUGUUUUAAAAAUUAUAUUAAACCACUGUGUAGGUUUCUCUCCCUUACCAGAAAUGUGACUGUGUACAGCAACAACACAUGAGCGUGCUUUACUUGGGAUACAGGCAUAUUUUUGGGGAGCAUCUGCUGCCCCUCCCAGCACAGCUAGAACACUCUGAGAGCCACAUGUUGCUCACCCAGUUGUGCUCACAACGAGCCUUCCAUAGCAGUUAAAAACUUCUCUCAAAAUCUUUCUUACUUGCGCACCCACACUCCAGCAGACAUGCUCCACUACAUUCAGUCCUUCUAACCACCUACUUGGCUGGCACAGCUCUAACACCAGGAGGCACAAGAACAACAACAACAACAAAAGUACUACCAAAACAGUUCAUCAUCCCUACAUUCUUCCCACUUUUAAGCCUGUUGUUAUCAUCUGAUAAAUAAUAUUAGAAGAUUUUCCACGAGCUUAAGACAGACAUAAGGGUUUUUAUAUCAUAAGUGAGGGUUUUAACAACUACCUCCACCAGAAAAGAAACCACUUGUGAGACAGAUGCUUAUUUUGUAAUGUGUAUUACUGAACUGAAAAAAAAUUCUUCUGAGUCAGGGAAAAGAUCAGUACACAGAUGAGGCCAGAAGUCCACUGUAAAGAUUCCCACCAGGCUUUUUUCCAAACUGCUAGUACAGUUAGAAGCAGAGACAAAAAAACAAGCGGAUUUUAUACAAAGCGAUAUCAUAUUGAUAAUUUUGUAACAGCGAAUGGAAAAUAGUCAGAGAGCUCUUCACACAAGCCUUAUAAUGAUCUUUAAGUAUUAUCCAAAACAACUUCUGUGUUAUAAUCUCAGAAGAGCAGAGUCUGGCUUGUGUAGCACACAACAAGACCCAGCCCCCAUGAGGAGCCAUAGACUGUAAACAUAAAGUAUAUUACACUCUAUGUUCUGCUGGAGAACCUGAGACACAGCAAAUCUUGUUGAAGGUCACACUGCAAGGCAGCAGAUGAAUCAAGAUUAAAAAACCUCUGUUUCCCAGACUCUGACUGGAUUGAGCCUGCAUGCCCAAAAGGCCCUCUCUCAUGACAGAGCUGGCUUUGGAAGCCAGCUCAGCUAGCGACAAUAAGAUGUGCUUGCUUCACUGCAGACAACCAAUCACCGUUCUGUUCUGUCUCUACAUACUGUUAAACUCUAACUGGAAAAAGGACAAGAGGAGGAGAAAUUACCAGGGGAGGAAUUACAAAAAAUACACAAAUGGAAUUCAAAUGGAUUUUUUUUUUCCUUUUUCUUUGUGUGUGUUUCUGAAUCGAUAACUGAACACAUGACCUCUCUGCACAGAAUGCAGGAUAUAGAUCACAGUUCCAGUCUGAGUCAAUGAGGACUGCCAGCGUGGCAACUCAAUAUCCAAAAACACAUGCCACCUGUUAGAAGCAAGCAGGGGAACGGCCUUUGGAACUCCACAACAAGCCUUUCCCACCCCAUUGCCUCUGCAUAAAAGGCACUGAUGUUACCAUCCUCACCUGGCACUAAGCUCUGAAGACAUGCUUUCACUGCAGAGGCAGUAGCAAAGAGAGGCAGAAUUCAGCAGGGCAGACACAGGUUAGAGAGAAACACACAAUAAAUACUGCGUCUUUUUAUGAGGUGAUUCCGUAUAAGACACACCACAUAAACAGCUCCAGGCAUAUCAGUUGUGAUGUAAAGCAGUCUUCAUUCUAAUCCUGCACCAUAAAUCCAUACAAAACACUCCACUCUGAGUCCUACAUUCUCAAUUUUUACUGAGAAGACCAAGAACUGCAAGUCAGCGUCUUCCCAAAAAACUCACAUCCUUCUAGUUUUCGAUCCCGUCAGAUGAAAUAGAAUAAUUAGACUAUUUGGGAUUCCGUGAUAGAUCCACGAUCUUCAUGUGUUAGACAAAACGGAGUUUUUACAGGAGAAAACAAUGUGAAGACGGACUUAAAAGCUCAGUACUCCAUGUGUUACCUGCAGAAACUUCCAAGCAAGUGCCUUCUGAGUGGAACAGGUAAUCUAAGCACCACUGUAACAGUAAGAACACAGUGUAUUGAUCUGUGCGAAAGCCUGGCAAAGUACUAUAUUACUUUUACGAUUCUAUCCCCAAAGUGUCAACCUGGAGAAUGCUUCUCUGGUUCACUCACUCACUCACCUCUCUCACUUCAUUUUUAGUAUUGAGCUCAGCCUCAGUUUUGCAAAGAGCUGUAGCUUCAAUUUCCUGGUUAUCAGUUUAAAUACAAAAAUCACAAGACAGCUGGAUUAUUCUGUAGAAUAAGGAUGAAACUGGAGUCUUAAGAUGGGCUGCCACACCUGCAGUGCCCAGCUGAGGGGCAAGAGGGAGAGGAAGCCCCUUUGCUGGGCACUUCUGAAUCACAGCAGUGUUUUGAUAACAAUGACUCCAUUCAAGCCUCUUGUGAAGCUCCCAAACAAGCCCCCAUUUGUUACAUGGGUGAUCUCAAAAAAUAAAAAAAAAAAUAAUAAAAAUAAAAGGCCUGUAUCAGAUUGCUGCUCAAGAAUCUGUCAGCUCUGAUCUCUUUAACAAGGCUUCACAGCCAGAGGGCAUGCCAGCUGGCACAGCAUGUGUUAAGCUCUUUGGGGACCACAUUAGCUGGUUUAGGUUCAAAGAAAAAAAAAGUAAAAAAAAAAAAAACCUAGCAUGAUUUAUAUUAAAAGGUAAGAGAAAUGUCAGAAACCGCUCGUAACUCAAAAUACAAAGCUCUGAAAAAUCUGCACUGAAAUAAACAAACAAACCACCACCCACCUCACUGAAAAUUAAUCCCUCUCAAAGGAAAAGAAAAUACCUGGCUCCUCUUUUGAGAUCGAACUCCUUGGAAUUCAUCACCACAAAAACUUCAAGUUUAGAGCUAAGUUAAGGUUUUCUUCCAAUUCUCUUAUUGCAAGCUUACCAGGACUGUCUGAGUGAAAAUUGCAGGAGGUGGCAGUCAGAAAGCACAGUAAGGAUUAAUUAUUUUUCUGGUGCAAGGACGCAGGCUCAGUGAGCUCCCGUCCUACCAGGAAAGCAUCACUAUAUCAGAGAGCAUCAGUUCCAUCAUAAGCUACCUCGCAAAUCACCAGUGUUAAGACAAAUGCUUUAUAAAACUUAGAAGCUCUGUUUCCUAGUGAUAUACAGUGUCAAUGUGAAACAUAAACCAUUUUACAAAUUAUCAGCUGCUAAACCACUUGGCAACUGAUGUGAUAUGAAAGCAAGAUAAUAAUCAGAAUUGUGUGGUUUCAAUAUCUGAUUUGCAGAUAUUUCCAAUGCUCUGAAUUAUGGUGGGGAUUGGUACAAAAACUUAGUACUCAUCCACAACCAGAGACAAGAGUAUCUAUAUAUUUUCUGGGGGCUGCUGAUACACUCAUGCCAAGGCACAUGGAAGAUAGUGGAUGUCCUGUGACACCUUUAUCGAGAACUUCUGUCAUUCAAGCUCCCCCUAGCUGAGCCACAGAAGGUUUUACUAUCCCAGAAAACAGUAUCGUGUGUACAUUUCCACAGCUCUUUUAUUAUUCAGAAUAUAACCCGACUUUCUGGAACACGCAGUGGCAAGACCUUGUCUUUGUCUAAAACAGCUCUAAUUCAGAGGUCUUUCUCCUACGCUUCCUGUGAGACAGUUGAUGCUUUGGGCACCAAAGGGACUGGAGUAACUGAGUUACACAGUAAUCAGAGAAGGAAUCUGAUUCAUUUUCCAACCCAUUCCAUUUUAAUGGCGUCAUUGUGACACAGAAUUCCUCCUUUGCCUGCCUCCUCCUGGGACACUGCAACCUCUCCCUUGGCUGUAGUGAUUACCCACGCGUCAGGCCUGCAGGUACUGCUCAGCUCUCUUGUGAAUGUGAAGGAUCUGGUAACGUCAGCAGACCAUGAUUGCUUUUGCACUCAGUUGGACUGGAAAGAACAGGAUUGCCAGAAAAAUGAAAUUACCUGCAGCAGAAAGACAAGAAUUCUCUGCAGCCUGUUCAGUGAGGUGCUCAGUGGAAAGGAGAACCCAAUUCUCUUAGUCUAGCCUGAUAGAAGGCAUUCAGCCCAGAAAAUGCACUUCAAAAAUCCAACCUACAGUUAUAUCAAUAUGGGAGAAGCACUGGAGAAGAAAUGAAGCCAGAGACUGCAUCAAGCGGGAAAGUUGCCUCCACUGUUCUUACAGUGCUUUCUGCCCUGUCAGCUGAGAUCAUUCCCCAUACUGAGACAAAAGCAGUGUUAGCAAAGUGCACCACCUCGCACCUGAAUUAAAGAAUACUCACACUAAAACACGAUAAAUGCUGAAAUUGCUCGUUUAUAUUGAAAUCUAAAGUAGAGAUGUGCUAGCUAAGCUCAGCGAGAUAACAGACACUUUAUAGUUUUCAGAUCACUUAACGCUAAAAUCUUAUGCACAGUUGUGACGGGAGAGAAACAAUCACAUUUAGAACAUUCAAGUAAUUCAAACUUGACUUUGCAGCAACACUACAGCUAAAUAAUUCAUGCUUUUUAGGAGCCCUGAAUUAGAUUAACACUGUACUUAAAUAAAAGAUUGUUUCCUCUUUUUCAACUAUGCCAUGAAAAGGGAGAACAAAAGCAGCCUGGGUAUCCAAACUGAAUUUUCUUAUCUUCUCUGUUGUAGGCAAAACACAAGUAUUAAAUAAUUUUUAGCUACAGCAACUUUGAAGAGCUGUAACUGUCCUACUGAAAAAUAAACCAUGAUAAGCAUCUUUUGAAAUUUUAGACAUCAUUUUUAAAGUUAAAUAUGCAGAUUAAUUUUAAUUCUAAUUAUUUGGUCUACUUAAAUCUGACAUAAUUAAUUUGGUAGCUGGAAUGUAAAAAUUACUGCUUUUUGGAAGACAUGCUCUGUUUUGGUACACAACAAAGAAAUGAAGCCUCUACCUGAAUUGCAAAACUGAGUCUGUAUAUGGAUCUGGGUUAGUGUUUCUGCAAUAUGGAAAGCUUUGACUUUGCCUUCAUUCUCACACAAAGCACUACAUGGCUUGUAGAAUAUCUGUGACUGGAAGCCUAAUGGAAAGCUCAUUCAAAGGACCUGCUGACACCUUGAUACUUGCAGCAAAGAUCGUGCCCCCGUGCUUUUAUGCCGAUUUCUGCACACAGACCUCUUUGCCAGCCUGCACUGUCCCAACCUAUUUAUCUGACAUGAUCAAGCAGCAGCACGAGGCAGCAGCCUGCUGCUGGAGGAAACCCAGCCUUGCUGGGAGGAUCCAGUUGUGUCCUCUCAUCCAAACGUGGACUCCCCAGGGAACAGAGAGGAAAACUCCACUGCUGAGCCAGAACUGUUGGCUCCAUGUUCAGGAGACCAAUACCAGGAACUGCCUGCCAGGGAAAUGUCAGCAUCAUUUUUGGCUUCUUUCUCUCCUAAGAACAGCUACAGAAGGGGCAGAAGGAAGAGGAACAUUACCACAAGAGACAAGACAGGGUAGGAUUUUGAAAUCUUCAACUUCCUCUUUACACACUGGUCCAUAAGAAGCAUAAGAAAUGGUUUCUGAGAUCAUUUGUAGAAACAGUGAGAACUCUUCACAUAUCUUCUGGCAGACAGGUAAAUAUCAUUUUUAAAGCAAGGAAAUUUGACAGUAGGACUGAAUUCAAUCCACUAUUCCACUUUUAACUUGUGGUUACGCAUUGCCCCCCCAUCUGCAAAAUGAGAACCAUGUUAAACAAAGACUGUGAGCAGUGGUGCCUCAACAGCACUUUGUGAACAUCUUCGAAUGAAUUCUUAUCCUGAUGUUACUCUGUAAAACAAACUUCCAAAAUGCGAUAAAGGUGGGAUUGCUACCUGCUCUACUGUAAACAUACCAGAUAAUGAGAUUUGAGACAGACAGAAGGUGAAAAAUCCUCUUGCAGUUCUCAAUUAGAAGAAUGACUUCAACUUGGCUUUGCUUGCUUACAGCACAGAAGUUGGUCAGUGAAAGGGGUGAAAAUUAUUUUCCCCUCCACUGUAUUUGCCAAACACAUACAUUUCUUUUUUUAUUGCUGCUGUUUGCGUCAAACAGGGGAAUUGCACUCACCCAACAAGGGCCACCUCAGAGGUUAAACUACUGGCAGUGGCAUUUAAUUUAUUGGGAAGGAGGAUGACAGUGAAUUUACUUUAGGUCAAAUUGCUUAUAUGAAGAAUCACCUUGGACUUUGCAAGUGCUAGGAAUACAAACAAGAGGAGAUAUUUGAGUCCUCUACCUUUUUAGAGAGAGUUUCGCUUUCCUUCAUGAUCCUAAAUAGAUUGAUGCCAAUCAACAAACUUCAUAUACACAGGCUAAACCAAUGCCACGAAUGCCACCCCCAGGUACCCUACCACUUCAGAAGAGACUCCUCAAAUUGUCUCCCCCACUCCUUAUAUAAAUCCAAAACAGCAGUUGUAUAUACAUCAGUGGGAGACACUGGGGGUGUUAUGUGCUCUCCCACACUCACCAUACAUCCCACCCCUAGGAAACAUUUGCCCAUCACACAAAUAUAUUCCACACUUGAAUUUUCAGCAUAAAAGUGCUUACUUUGACAUGAAGCACGCAACACGGAGCGGUCACUAAGCAUUGCAGAAAGGUGAGCUUCUCCAUUCCGUCUUUUUUGGUUCUAAAAAUGAAGGUGUCUGUAUAACCUCAGCUCAUACAUAAGGCUAUGAAAAAGUAACAUUAUGCAUCCUUUGUUGCACAAUACCUAACUUUACAACCUUUUGUUUGGAAGAAUGCAUCACACUGAAUUAAAAGCAGCUUUUGAAACUGUAAGCAACAAAAAUCCCUUCAAGGAAUAUUUUGCAUUAAAGAUGCCUUCAAAUUCAUAGUGAAAGACUCCAGUACCAGCUGUAUUCUGAGAACAAUGUGCGCUUGCUCUCUACCAGUCCUUGUGCCUGGCUUGCUGGCUCCACAGGGAGUUGGUUAUUGCCCUAAGGGAGUAUUAGAUAAUGAAGAGCUCAGAGUUUGUCUUUCGCUUCAUGCCCGGGCUCAUCCUAGUGCGUAUAAGUAGGCUUAGUUUGCAAACUGUCUUUCUCAACCUCUUCCCCCUCCUGUUUUCCAGCAACCCAGCAACAUUUUUUAUAAAUGAGCACUUCCAAUUGCCUCUCUUGAAACAUGCUUAUUGAAUCCAUCACCUUAUUUAGAGUGCUCCAGAGGACUGAAAUGAGGUUCCCAGCUUUCAAAUGCACUGAGUGACUUCAUCAUGAAGCAUCACAAAACUGACAUCUCACAGAGUAGUAACUGCUCAAGUACCUGCUCCAGUCCAGCAGCACUGCGCUACAGGUGGCACAUCAUCCUGCUAGAAGGAAAUGCUGGGACUGGUGUGUGGAAUGACAUGUGUCAAGAGAGACACAGCUACACACUGAAGUGGUAAUACUAGGCAGAAUGGGAGCUUGCGCAAUCAGACCUUAAUUAUGGUUUCAGGCAAAUGGCUGCAUCCACUCAUGAAAUGCUGUAACAUUUUACUAAGCAUAUAAAAUGGUUGUUUUAGGAUGGAGGACAGCAGUAGGCUUAAUGACUUUUCAUUAUACUUCAUCUAAGAAAAACAGACUCGAUACACAAUUUCUGGACGGUUUAAAGCAAUGGAGAAUAUUUUUAUGAAAAGAUCAUUUAUGUUUUUAUAGCCAUUUCAUUCAAAUCAUCAAAGCAGAAAAGACAUAUGGGAGGUUGCCUGUCAAUUCCAGCAGUGAGGUUAGACCCAAGUUUCCUAGAGUAAUCAGCAUGUGACCUGUGACAGGUUACUUCAGUUUUAUUACUUGAACACAUCUGUCAACUAACACCAUUUAAUUAUCUUCUUGAGAUUCUUGAAUUUAAUAGCAUAUAGAAAGGCCAAAGUCUUAAAAUAAAUACGAUAACAGGGAAAAAAUUCCAUUGCAAACUCAAAGCAAAUCACAUCACUUAAGCAGAGAACGCCAACCUUCCUUGUAUUUUACAAGCUGAAGCUAGGAAGUGAAGAUGGAGGGCUGAGAAGGGAACUGGAAAUAAUGUCACCUCUUCACAUAGUUGCAUCAUAGAGAAAAGUUGUAUACUGCAGGAAUAGCAUUUAGGUAGUUACUUACAAAGCAGCCUAAUCAUCACUACAAAAAGAAGAAAAAAAAUCCUAAGACUCUUAAGAGAGGUUCUGUGAAAAGUUUCUGGUCUGUGCUCCAGGCCAUGCUCUUAUGCUCUACAUCUGCAGCCUUUGGCCACACUGCAGGAGCACCAAUAUCAUCAGAGGGAACUUGACUGGUUAACUGAAGAACAUUAUUUAAAGGCUCAAGUUCUGUUUAGAGUGCUCUGACCAAGAGAAGGUUAGGAGGUCUUCAUCCUUGAGCUUGAAGAUCAGGAAAUUUCUUAAUGACCAGAACAUCUUCGGUGUUCCAAGUGAAUCAUUUCCCAGGGAAUUAAAAAAUGAAAAUCAAACACACUGUAACAAAAUUAUUUUCUUUUACUAGUUCUUGGUGAAAGAAAAAAGAACAUUUACAAAAUUUUCUAACUCUAAUCUUUCAAGUUGCUAAAUAUUAGCUUAGCAAAACCAGCUUUGCUCUUGAUAUGCAAAUGAGAAUCUAGAUUGCUGUAUGAAAAACCACUAGGAAAUGUGACUGCAUUUGUCCUCAGGGAGCAUAUAAAACAUCAUCUGAUUUUUAAAAUAUUCUGUCUGUAAUGGCUCCAAUCUUUACAAAGAUUUCAUCAGUUACCAGUAUUGCUGAUAUCUGUUCACCUUCUAGUCAGGUAUCCAAGACUGACUUAGAAGGGUCAACAGAGUAUCUACCUUUAAUAGAGAGUAAGCAGUAGCUUACGCAAAGGAAUGCAGUCAUACUCAGAUUCCUUAUACUAUUCCCAUGCAUUUGAGCCACCAACUUCUUACAGGCCACAUUUUAGAAUCUGAAUUUAACCCAUUGGGAAGGGUUAAACACCCUAUCAGGGGAGGGAAAGAGAGGGCAGAGGGAGAAGGAGAACAAGGAACUAACACAGAGCUUAAUGACCAAGGAAUGUAGCAGGCAUAGCAGUGCAAGAUACAAGCCCCGCCAGCUCCACUUAGUGCACUGCCUAACACAAUCACUGAAGAACAGAACAGCUCCUCCAUCCUCCUCUCAAAGCAUGUUCCUUGCAGAUGAUGACUGGUUAAACACACAAUCAAAUAGCAAAGCAUGAAGGCAAACAAUGUUUUCCUGCAAACAAUGUUUACAGUCUAGGUAACAAUUAGAUAAGGAAUAACACAGAUUAACACAA